GACAGAGGAGCCAAGCGUUGUCCGGACUGACUGGGCGUAAAGGGCACGCAGGCGGUGCGACAAGUGGGGUGUGAAAGCGCUCGGCUUAACCGAGCGAGGCCAGGCCAAACUGUCGCACUGGAGCCAUGCAGAGGGUGGUGGAAUUGCCGGUGUAGUGGUGAAAUGCGUAGAGAUCGGCAGGAACACCAAGGGAGAAGUCAGCCACCUGGGCAUGUGCUGACGCUGAGGUGCGAAAGCGUGGGGAGCGAACUGG
rnacentral:rRNA from 1 species